AGAGGCCGUGAGGCUGGCAAUACAGAUACAGAGACACUGAGUGAAAAAGACAAAAUGCUUGAAGCGAAAGAAGCCGAGGUAUGUACCGUAACUAUGUCUACCGAGCACAUUGCCUGGGGUGGAAAAACUAUAUCGGACCACGGAUCGUUGGUCGCGGUCUGGAGGUCCCAGAAAAUAUCGUUUCUCCAAAAAUGAAAAGAUUUAGAUAAAAGGAGAAAUUCUAACCAAUAGAAAGAGUGUUACCUGUACUGUACCUAUGACUUCAGAAAUGCAAUUAUAAGUGCACACAUCUUAAUAGUGCAAUAGUGUAUAAAUGUAUUAGACUAUAGAAUGAUGUCACAAAUGUUGUUUGGCAAAUGCAUUUGUAUAGCCAAUGGGCCUAUUCCCUAUAAUGAACAAAAUUUUGAUCUAGACAAGUCAAGACAAACAUUUCACCACAGCUUGAAAGAGCAUCACAAAAUUCGUAAUAUUCCGAAGUUUCGUUGCGAAAUGUUGUAAAAUGCGGAUAAUAUAGCCCUGCGAAGUUUGCCGUUUUUUAGUCAUUUUGUAUUACGCACGGGUAAUUGAUACCGCUUUCUGAAAAAGGUAUCAACUUCCCCCUUAAUCUCAAACAUGCUUAUUUAUUUUCUUGUAUUACUUUCAGUUGCGACGAAUGCAAGAGAUGUUGGCGAAAAUGCAGCAACAGAUGCAAGGGAGUAAUAUUUGACUUGUUAGAUAAAAAUGUAGCUAGAAUUUGGUAUUUUUCAUUCAGAGACAUAGUCAUCUACAUUACCUGCAUUCCUUCAGUUUCUUUGCGAAUUCGAUGUAAUAUUUGCUUUGAUAAUUCUGAUAAAUCUCCUCAGUUUUUUUCCUAUAUAUAGUGUAGAGUUUUUGAUAAACAUUUUGUUGAAUAGUUGGACAUAGCUUUAUAUAAAAACAUCACCUAUAUAGUUAUUUUCAUAAUAUACAACACGAGGUUUUUGCUCAAAAUCUGUGACUAUUGU